CUACGGGAGGCAGCAGUGGGGAAUUUUCCGCAAUGGGCGAAAGCCUGACGGAGCAAUACCGCGUGAGGGAUGAAAGCCUGUGGGUUGUAAACCUCUUUUCUCAAGGAAGAAGUUCUGACGGUACUUGAGGAAUAAGCAUCGGCUAACUCUGUGCCAGCAGCCGCGGUAAUACAGAGGAUGCAAGCGUUAUCCGGAAUCACUGGGCAUAAAGCGUCUGUAGGUGGUUUAAUAAGUCUGCUGUUAAAGACUAGGGCUUAACCCUAGGAAAGCAGUGGAAACUGUUAGACUUGAGUAUGGUAGAGGUACAGGGAAUUCCUAGUGUAGCGGUGAAAUGCGUAGAUAUUAGGAAGAACACCAAUGGCGAAAGCACUGUACUGGGCCACAACUGACACUGAGAGACGACAGCUAGGGGAGCAAAUGGGAUUAGAUACCCCAGUAGUCCUAGCCGUAAACGAUGGAUACUAGGUGUUGCACGUAUUAAUCCGUGCAGUAUCGUAGCUAAGGCGUUAAGUAUCCCGCCUGGGAAGUACGCUCGCAAGAGUGAAACUC
rnacentral:rRNA from 11 species